rnacentral:rRNA from 1 species
GACGAACGCUGGCGGCGUGCCUAAUACAUGCAAGUCGAACGCAGUGGGGACGGGUGAGUAACACGUGGGUAACCUCCCAUCAGAGGGGAUAACACUUGGAAACAGGUGCUAAACCGAUACUGAUGGAUGGACCCGCGGUGCAUUAGCUAGUUGGUGGGGUAACGGCUCACCAAGGCCACGAUGCAUAGCCGGCCUGAGAGGGUGAGCGGCAACAUGGGGACGGAGACACGGCCCAGACUCCUACGGAAGGCAGAAGUGGGGAAUCGUCGGCAAGGGACGAAAGUCUGACCGAGCAACGCCGCGUGAGUGAAGAAGGUUUUCGGAUCGUAAAACUCUGUUGUUAGAGAAGCGGUAUCUAACCAGAAAGCCACGGCUAACUACGUGCCAGCAGCCGCGGUAAUAC